CCCACGGAUUGUGCCAUUGGAGGCCCAGAGGGGGCACAGCAUGGCAUACCAAGGUCACGUGGCCUCAUGUCUCCCAUUCAUCGCACACGAAAUGCCUGCCCUCUCUGGGCCCUAAGACCUAUUGCCAGCCCCACAGGCCAAAAAGCUUCUGUUUCCGAAGCUGCUGUCAGGGGCUUAAGCCAGGCCUCACGGAGAGGGGUGGCAUGCAGGAAAGAGAAGAGAUGCCCCUGUUUUUACCACGUCCCUGCCCUGUGCUCAGGGUAGGCCUGGACCCCAAGGUUCAACUUUUUUCACCCCACCAGGAAGAUGCUUCUGCGGCCGCCGUUUCACAGACGGGAAAGUGACAAGCACCUGCCUGGAGGCCCUCUGACCACCGCCAGCCUCUGCUGGUCUCCCUGCAGACUGCCACUCGGAGAGGGCUGGCCCACGAGGGACUCCUGGGCACAGCACGCUCAACAUGGACCCGUGAAUGAAUGCAUUUGCUGUUCCCAGUGCACCAAGAACACUGUCACCCCACCUCUGCCCAAGGCAACACCUCAGGUCUCAGCCCAAAGGCUGCCUCCUCCAGGAAACAGCCCCCGUCCAGUCUCCCCAUGGGAAGCCCAGCCCCUCAGUCGCUCCUCUCGCACCCACUGCUGUCGCCAUUCUUACCAGGAUCAGAAUUAUCUCACCUGCCCAUCUUGCUGUGUGUUCCCGUGGCCUUCACUACUAUGUCCCCGGUGCCUAGAACAGAGCCUGGGACACAGAAGGUGUUCAGUGAAUGAAUAAUGGAGGAGGCUGAGAAGAAGGAGAGGUUCCUCAUUAGCUGGCUAUGUGACCUUAGGCAAAAAGGCUUCCCUCUCUGAGCCGCAGCACUCGCCCACAUGCCCCCUUCUGGAUUCUGAAGAGAUGCAAUGAGAUUUGGGGAACUGAAGAUAAGGACACUGAGGCCCAGAAGAACUAAGUGUGUCUGCCCCAAGUCACACGGAAGGAUGAGAAGGAACAAAAUCUGCCCAGCCCGACUUUCCCCCUUUGGGGUUGUCAUUACAGGCCUGGCAAUGUGAGUCCCACCUUCUGGAGAGGAAAACUGAGGCCCAGAGAAGAGUAGCCCAGAGGGUCUCACGCUGUGGGUUAAGUGUUACUCAGACCCUGAGGGCCAGCCCCCAAAGACCAGACUCAGCCCCGCAGGGGUCCAAGCCCUAUGGCCUCCAGCGAGGAGCAUGCUUGCCACCCUUCCCCGCCCUCCACCCCCUGCCGGGGAUGACCCAUCCCUUCUCAGGGCAGGUCCCACCCCGGUGCCACCCCAGGUGUCCUGCAGCAAAGCUGCAAGCUAGGAUGACGUAAGCCCUUGUUUUUACAAGGCUGUUGCUCAACAGGCCCUGCCUGCUGCUUCCCUACCCCCAGCCCGGUCCUGUUCAGCCUUUCCUCAGGGAGGAUGGUGGGAACUUGAGGGCCACCAUCCCGGAGGCCCAGAGCAUGUGAGUGGCUGUGUGGGCCCAGGAAGCCAGGAUCCCCCUGGUGCCACCUCUCCCAGUCACCUGCCCUCAGAACCUAGAGCCGGAAAAGGUCUCCAACUGGCAGCCAGCAGCCCAGUCAAGACCAGGGAUGGGUUCAGUGUGACCCCGGAGUGUUUUGUUUGAUGUGUGUGUGUUUAAGUGAAUUUACUGCCAACAUUUAAAAAUCAGGAGAUUUCACAUCAAAAUUCAGAUUUCCAGCUCCUCUUUUAAAACCUGAAGAUGUGGGCUGGGCCCACGUGGCCACAUGGUGGUGGGCAGAAGCCAGGCGGGGGUGGGGAAGGAACAGGCACUUUCCUACCUGGGACACACGUCCUCCUCUGCCCCCAAACUGCUUCUCAGAAUUCCUCCUCCCUGUCCCUGCAGCUUUUCCCUAGCCCAUUUUCAAGAGGGGAAAACUGAGGCAA